AUAGCCGGCCUGAGAGGGUGAACGGCCACAAGGGGACUGAGACACGGCCCUUACUCCUACGGGAGGCAGCAGUGGGGAAUAUUGGACAAUGGACCAAAAGUCUGAUCCAGCAAUUCUGUGUGCACGAUGAAGGUCUUCGGAUUGUAAAGUGCUUUCAGGUGGGAAGAAGAAAGUGACGGUACCACCAGAAGAAGCGACGGCUAAAUACGUGCCAGCAGCCGCGGUAAUACGUAUGUCGCAAGCGUUAUCCGGAAUUAUUGGGCGUAAAGCGAGUCUAGGCGGCUUGUUAAGUCAGAUGUGAAAAUGCGGGGCUCAACUCCGUAUUGCGUUUGAAACUGGCAGGCUAGAGUACUGGAGAGGUGGGCGGAACUACAAGUGUAGAGGUGAAAUUCGUAGAUAUUUGUAGGAAUGCCGAUAGUGAAGACAGCUCACUGGACAGAUACUGACGCUAAAGCUCGAAAGCGUGGGGAGCGAACAGGAUUAGAUACCCUGGUAGUCCACGCCGUAAACGAUGUUCACUGGGUGUAGGGGGUCGAACCUCUGUGCCGAAGCUAACGCGAUAAGUGAACCGCCUGGGGAGUACGCACGCAAGUGUGAAACUCAAAGGAAUUGACGGGGACCCGCACAAGCGGUGGAGCAUGUGGUUUAAUUCGACGCAACGCGAGGAACCUUACCAGCA
rnacentral:rRNA from 1 species